GGGGGGGGAUUCAUUUAUGAACCUCCCGCCAUUUGAUUAGCCCAAGUGACGAUUAGCUAGUUGGUGAGGUAAAGGCUCACCAAGGCGACGAUCUCUAGCUGGUUUGAGAGGAUGAUCAGCCACACUGGGACUGAGACACGGCCCAG
rnacentral:rRNA from 1 species